ensembl:lncRNA
GAAAUCCCCCAUUUAAGCGAAAAUCACGCAUUUUCAUCUUCGAGAAUCCCCAUUUAAGCGAAAAUCACGCGUUUUCUCUUUGAGAAUCCCCCAUUUAAGCGAAAAUCAUGCGUUUUCUCUUCGAGAAUCCCCCAUUUAAGCGAAAAUCACGCGUUUUCUCUUCGCAAAUCCCCCAUGUAAGAGAAAAUAACAUGUUUCCUCUAUGCAAAUUUCCCAUUUAACCGAAAAUCACGCGUUUUCUCUUCGCAAAUCCCCCAUUUAAGCGAAAAUCACGCGUUUUCUCUUCGAGAAUCCCCCAUUUAAGCAAAAUCACGCGUUUUCUCUUCAAGAAUCCCCCAUUUAAGUGAAAAUAACAUGUUUCCUCUUCGCAAAUUUCCCAUUUAAGUGAAUAUCAUGCAUUUUCUCUUCAGAAAUCCCCCAUUUAAGUGAAAAUCACGCGUUUUCUCUUCGAGAAUCCCCAUUUAAGCAAAAUCACGCGUUUUCUCUUCGCAAAUCCCCCAUUUAAGCGAAAAUCACGCGUUUUCUCUUCGCAAAUCCCCCAUUUAAGCGAAAAUCACGCGUUUUCUCUUCGAGAAUCCCCCAUUUAAGCGAAAAUCACGCGUUUUCUCAUCGAGAAUCCCCCAUUUAAGCAAAAAUCACGCGUUUUCUCUUCGAGAAUCCCCUAUUUAAGCGAAAAUCACGCGUUUUCUCUUCGAGAAUCCCCAUUUAAGCGAAAAUCACGCUUUUCUCUUGAAAAUCCCCCAUUUAAGCGAAAAUCACGCGUUUUCUCUUCGAGAAUCCCCCAUUUAAGCAAAAUCACGCGUUUUCUCUUCGCAAAUCCCCCAUUUAAGCAAAAUCACGCGUUUUCUCUUCGCAAAUCCCCCAUUUAAGCCACAAAUCACGCGUUUUCUCUUCGCAAAUCCCCCAUUUAACCCGAAAAUCACGCGUUUUCUCUUCGCAAAUCCCCCAUUUAAGCGAAAAUCACGCGUUUUCUCUUCGAGAAUCCCCCAUUUAAGCAAAAUCACGCGUUUUAAUCUUCGAGAAUCCC